AGGCCAGGAGGCCCCAACCAGGCUGUAGCCGGGGCCUGAGGGGCAGGGCUGGAGUCUAGAGUGGAGGCAGACACUGCCUGGACCGUUUCGAGACCUUGGGGAUGAGGGAGUCCCAACAUGCGACCUUCUGAUGAUGUUCGUUAACCUCCUGCAGGCUGCCUGGUGCUCUUCCGCCAGCCCCUGGGGAGCUGUCGGGGCUGAGCACCUCCUGGGCCAGGCCCGGAGCAGCGCGGUCCCCAUGGGGCUACAGCCGGCAGAGUCUUGAGACUCCUUCGGCUACCUAGCGACUGGCGGAGUGAAGGGCCAGGACAGGGACCUCAGGCCUGUCCGCUUUGAAGCUCCCCGACCUCUAGGGUGCCCCUGUGCUCCUCAGGGACCACCCUGGGGAAGGGACAUCUGGUUGGGAGGCCGCCUCAGUCAGUUCCUUCAUCAUCCUCUGCCUUCCACACCCAGGUCCUCCUCACGCUGUCUCCUUGGAACGAAGGAAUACACGCAUCUGCGCCCCAGGCAGUCUCCUCCCGCCACACACACCCCCCCUCCGUGCACAGUGGCUCCGGCAAGUGUCACGGGGAGUAGAGCCUGUGGGGAGGGCCCCCACCAGGGACCCUGUACCUACCGGCCCCAACUCCAACGGCCCUGGACGUGGUCCCUGAUCCCCAGAGACACCGCGGGCAGGUGAGGAGAAGGCCUCUCCUUCUCUCUCAGAAUCUGGGACUUUUUCACAGCUCAGUAGGGCCCCAGUUGAGCCUUUCAAGCUCACUGGAGCCUCAGGGUCCUUAUUGAAAGCAGGAGUUUGGCAUAGACAAGCCCUCCCUAUUGCAUCCAUCGGUAUUUCCCCCAGAGGGCGCUCUGCUCACAGAAUCCGGCACCUUCAUCUUGCAUAUCCGGCCGGAGUCACCUCUGGUGAGAAAGGCUCGGCGAGACGCGGGAGACUCGCCUAAGUUUGUUUAACCCGUAGUUCCCCAGACCUACGUAACCGGGAUGUACAUUUUCCACAGAACACCUUUUACGAUGCCAUGGAAUCCAGACUGGGAAACUCCUCGAAGGACUUUUUUCCAUUUUAGGCUUGUAGAGUUGGGUCCUUCCCUCCCAUCCCCCUCAGGACCGGGUUCUGACUCCUCCCGACCUAAGCUCAUGCUCCCAUGGGGCCUGUGCAAGGGCUGCGCAGAGCCUGAUCCGCCGUGGCCUCCGCACGAGCCUAGAUCAGCUGCUCAUUGUUAAGCUAAGGUUGCACCUCCUCCCCCAGGAUAAAAGGGGGUGGGGGUGGGGAGUCCGAUUUCCGUAAGGGCAGGGAUUGGUUAAACGCGUUUCUCCAGGAACUACUGUGUGCCAGGCACUGACUGAGUGGUCACUUUGGGGCACGUUUUCUGCGCUAAGAAGUUCUCACUGCUUUGGGAAGUGCAUUAUUGAUCCAGGAAAGACAUUGCCCCCUUCUGCCUCACCCUUUCUGUAGAUCAACCGCACCUGGGCCUCAUUCUCCAGCACCUCCCACCUCAGGCAGCGCAGGGCAGGGGUCUGGGCCAGGCGGAGAAAGGACAAACACAGUGACACACGCGGGAUGGGGUGGGAGUGGGGCUUGGAGCUUGGGAGCAGAGGUGACGGUUCACUGCAGUCCUGGGGUCUGCCCCCAGCUCCCCACGCCCCUCACUCCAGUCUCUCUCACUGAGGUCCUGAUAAAUUGACAUCUUUCACAAAAGCCAAUUCCUCCAGAAGCUCUGACUCCUCGCUUCUCACUGCUAAAAAUAGGUGGAGAGCUGUAAAAACCGCACACCUAGAGACAAUUCUAGUCAUUUUGGUAGAUAUUUGCUCUAAAGAUCUGCAAUGUCUGUCGUUAUUAAAACCGGGUGUUCCUUGGCAAACUCAUUUCUUUUAAAAGCAGAUUCACAGCCUUCAAUAAAAUAAAUUUCUUAUUUCCAGUGGGUUCGGAGACAUUCAGAGGUGUUACUACAAAGCCGUGACGAUCCUCACCAUCGGAAUCCAAGGUUCUUGUUAAGGCCCUAUCCUUGGCCCUCAGGUGUCCGUCGUGGUGUUCAAAGAGGAGAACAUUUCCUGAUGGAGGGGCUUGGGUGAAGGGGCCAGCUCUCCCACCGCAGGGCGCUGGCAGUUGCGCCGGUUUCAAAGAGAAAGCAAUGCAUUCGGGCUGUUCUGCAGAGAAAAGGCUCCAGGAGUAGGCGAGGAUGUUUCCUGGGACGAAUUCGGGACACCUCACAGCUGCUGGCAGGAACAACCGGCCCCAAGGAUGUAGACUGCAGUUUUCAACUGAUGGAGGCAGGACAACUCUGAUGGGCCGUCCGGAGCUCCCUGUGCAGUCAGCUCAGACUGUGGGACCCACAUCGCAGCUUGACUCCUCCCUCUGCCAAUUCUUCUGUCUCCCU